AGUGAACGCUGGCGGUAGGCCUAACACAUGCAAGUCGAACGGCAGCACAGUAAGAGCUUGCUCUUACGGGUGGCGAGUGGCGGACGGGUGAGGAAUACAUCGGAAUCUACUUUUUCGUGGGGGAUAACGUAGGGAAACUUACGCUAAUACCGCAUACGACCUACGGGUGAAAGCAGGGGAUCUUCGGACCUUGCGCGAUUGUAUGAGCCGAUGUCGGAUUAGCUAGUUGGCGGGGUAAAGGCCCACCAAGGCGACGAUCCGUAGCUGGUCUGAGAGGAUGAUCAGCCACACUGGAACUGAGACACGGUCCAGACUCCUACGGGAGGCAGCAGUGGGGAAUAUUGGACAAUGGGCGAAAGCCUGAUCCAGCAAUACCGCGUGGGUGAAGAAGGCCUUCGGGUUGUAAAGCCCUUUUGUUGGGAAAGAAAAGCAGCAGGUUAAUACCCAGAUGUUCUGACGGUACCCAAAGAAUAAGCACCGGCUAACUUCGUG
rnacentral:rRNA from 1 species